rnacentral:lncRNA from 1 species
AUCAAUUAGAUAUCUGGCUAAGAAAAAGAAAAAGUACGAUUAAAUACAAAGAAAUGGACCAGAUUUUUGAAUAAUGUAUCUCAGAUCAAUUUUGACUAUUCCCACCUAUGAACUCCCCUAGAUUCCACUUUUUGGUCUUUCAACCAACUAAUUUAACCAUUUGAAUAUUGUUUCAAUUGAAAUAUUAACAUUCGUUAUUGCAGCGCACAAAAAAUAGAAACAAACUUGAAACAUUCAUUUUCAGACUUCCUUUUGAUACCUAGAAUAUACAUCUAUUCAUUCUUCAUCUAGAAAGAGCAUAUCUCCGUACACCUACAUAAAUUAUGUAGGAUGAUUAAGACCACUAAUAAAUAUCUAUCUAAUCCCCCAAUUUUUGAAAAGAAAUAUGGGAAUAGAUACUCAUACAUAAUGAGUCGCCGGGAACCAGAUUUGAACUGGUGACACGAGGAUUUUCAGUCCUCUGCUCUACCAGCUGAGCUAUCCCGACCAAUAUUCAAGAAAUAUCUGUAUGGACAUUUUCUUUUUCUUAUAGAUUAGACAGAAUAAUAGAGGUUUCAUUCCUAUCUUAAUUCUGGAUUAUGAUAAAUAAGAAAAUUGAUAAAUAAAAAAGACAAUAAAAUAGGGAUUCAUUGAGAUUCAAAAAUGGGAUGGAGCAAUCCUUAUUUCGGACGUAGGAUGAACUGAAAAAGUUCUGCAUCAUUAACUAUGUAAGAUGCACAUCAGCAUCAAUUAGAUAUCUGGCUAAGCAAAAGAAAAAGUACGAUUAAAUACAAAGAAAUGGACCAGAUUUUUGAAUAAUGUAUCUCAGAUCAAUUUUGACUAUUCUCACCUAUGAACUCCCCUAGAUUCCUCUUUUUGGUCUUUCAACCAACUAAUUUAACCAUUUGAAUAUUGUUUCAAUUGAAAUAUUAACAUUCGUUAUUGCAGCGCACAAAAAAUAGAAACAAACUUGAAUCAUUCAUUUUCAGAC